ensembl:lncRNA
CUGAGUUUUAUCUCAUGUUCCUUUUCUUAUGAGGGAUACAGGGUCCAUGCUGCUCAGGCCGACUUCUCCUGUAAAAGGGGCUGAAUCUGAGUCAUUAGAGAACCACAUAUGGUUUCACUUCCAGUGACAUCUGGAAAGCAAGGGGUCAGGUAGCAUCACAGAGAUGUCCCGGUGAAAACGGGGACUGAGCUGACGCUGUUGUUCUCUUUGGGAGAUGAGUAGGGAGUGAAAUAGUCAGACCUUGAUGUGGAGGGAAUUUUAGUGAAGAAUUAGAAUAAUGUUUCUUUUCCUUUACUCACCUUCUCAAAUUACCUAAAGAGGAGAUGUAAGGACAGAGAAAAAUAGGGAAGAACAGCAGAAGGAGCUACUUGAGGGAUGACAGGAAUUUAAAUAAAAUCACAACCCUCCAGAAAGAACCGAAAGGUUUCCAACCUCAUUUACCUGAUAGAUGGGGUUUUACCAUGUUGACCAGGAUGGCCUUGAUCUCUUGACCUCGUGAUCUCCCUGCCACGGCCUCCCUGAACUGCUGGAAUUACAGGCUUCCAAGUGAGAAGUUCAGGGCUUCACAAUUGAGAACCAGAAAGAAAAGGAGAAACUGGCCUUUGUUGAGUAUCAACUGUCAACAUUCUUGGAUAAGAAAGGGAGAACCCCUCUUAAAGGAGAGUCUUAUGACCUGCUUCAGGAGAGAAGGGCAAGGGGAAGGUGAGGGCUAAGAAUUCCUUCUGCAACAACCCUGACAAAUGAGCAUGGUACUUCCAGGAAAAUUUCUCCAGGGUAGUGAAGCUCAUUACCAGAGAGCCACCCAGACAGCAAGAUGAAGCUUAACAAGGAAUACAAGAACAGCCUCCACUUGGAUUCAAAAUCAGCAACUGCAAAAAUUUCAAGAUAAAAAGACCUCCCUAAUGAUAAAGAAACACAUACAGCAAAAACCUUCAGUUGACUCUGUCUUAUUUCAGCUAUGGAAUUUUAGAAUUGGGUGUAUGUGCACCUGAGCAGUAUUCUUUUCUUUGAUAUUUACAGAACCUGUUGGCCAACAUGUUUCCAGAAACAGAGAACCACUCACGACUUUCUAAUAAAGCUAUUCCACAUGUAGACAAACAUAUUCAAUGCUAGUACUAAAAUCUGUUCCUGUUUCGAAUUCUCAUAUCAUGCCUUAACUCCUGUCUUUUGGAACAACUUAGACUGUUUAUGUCUUAACCACAAACACCCUACCACAUACUUGAAGAAGAUUCCCAUAGUUACAGAACACAACUCUUUCCCAAAUAAAAUUUACCUUCACUUUUCCUGAUGAGACAUUGAAAUCUAUUAUUCUUCCCUAGUAGGAUGGAAGUUCUUUGAGUAAAUAUGAGGCAUGUGUGUCAAGGAAAAAGUGGAUGUUUGCUUAAACAAAGAAGUGAGAUCCUGGGAGAAGUCCAACAUGUCACAAUAUUUACCCUGAAAGACACUCAGGCUUAAAUAAAAAUAAAUCAAAUCUUUUAAUCUCCUCUUAACUUAUUUACCCAAAUGCGACAAUGAAUUUUCAUAUAUCACUUUAAAUUCCUGACACACACAAGCCAAAUAUUGAACGCUGAUU